UGGUAUAAAUCUUACUCUCUUAGAUAUUCUAUUCUUACUUGGAUGGCCAUUUUGCAGAAACUGAAAGUGGCUGAUUUGUUAAUCAAAAAAUUUAUCCAGGUCAAUCUGGUUUGCUGUUUUUGCAACAAUGCCCAGGAAGAUCACAACCAUCUUUUCUUUAACUGUAUUUGAUUACAUGGAUAACCAGCUGCUUAUGUCCAAAUGGGAAAAGAAUUUCUGCUGGCUUACUAUUGGCUGCACUGUGUAUCAUCUUUUGAGAGAAAGAAAUAAUCGCAAAUUUGAUAACAAAUGGAAUACUUUGGAGUACAUUAUCAUUUCUAUAAAAAAUGCUAUUCGGGUCAAGACUUGUACCUGGAAGCAUUAUCAACAUCUUCUUGAAAAAUUUCAAUUCUACUGAAGUUUUGGUCUUCCCUCUGUCUGGCUGGAGCGGGAGAUCACCCGAUGCUGCUUGAUUACUUUGCUGUUCUUGCUGUGUAGCUUCUGUUUUAUUAGUGUUUUUCUGAUCUGUAGUGGUUAUGUCUUUGUUUUAUUUUGCUCUUUGUGAGGUUUUCUGCUUGAG